ACAAGCACCGGUCAAGUCUCCUGAGAAGAAUACCUCUAGAAAAGGAAAAAGUGUAAAGAAUAGCGGAAAGGGCAAGGCCCUUAAACGUAAAACUUCCGAAUCAGUUGAAAUACCCUCGGGUAGUAGAGUAACAGUAAGCCCUAUGAAAAAGAAAGCCAAACCAAAAGUACAAACAAAAACUACUAAACCAAAGGCUAAAAAAUCAAAAACUGACAAUACAGAACUGAUAAAAUCAUUAUUUCAAGGGUUGACAGAUUCUUUGAGGUCCACCCUUACUGGGAACACACAGAGAGACAAUAGUCUGCAAAGAACUAGACAAAAUAAUGAGACAGCUAGGACUGAGAAUAUUCACAAUAAUCAGUAUUCUGACCAAGAAGAAGAGUCUGAUUAUCCUGUUUAUGAUACAUGUAACAAUAACAUUGAGAAUGGGAACUUUUCUAUCUUUAGUGAUGAUGGUAACUGUAAUGAUCAGAGUGAAGUCUCUUCAGAUGAGAAUAAUGAUUUUGAUUAUGAAUUGCCCCGUAUUUUCGAAGGCGAUGAAAGAUUUGGUGAAGAGGUAUGUGAAUCCAUCUCUAAAGUCUGUGACAACAUUUGUAAAAAGAAAACAGAUGUUUCGUCAAUGGUCAAUGAACUGAAGGUGCCCUCAAAUUGCAAAAGCCUUGUUGUGCCGCCAGUUAACCCAGAAAUAUGGCAAUUUUUAGACCGCAAGACAAAAUCAUCUGAUUUAGGUCUCCAGAAUCUUCAGAGACUUCUAGCAUACGGGAUGAUCCCUGUGAUAACUCUGGCAGGUAUUCUGAAAACUAAAUAAAAUGCUCCUCAGGGCGCAGCUUGAUACGACCGCAGAGGUCGAACCCUGAACAGUUGGGGCAAGUAUGGACACAACAUUCAAGCUUGAUACAGCUUUGGAUUUGGAUUGUGAUUAAAUAUUUGACACAGCAUAGGUUUCUAACACAGAUUGAAUGUGGUCUAAGAACUUAAAAAUUUUAAAUUGGACAUUCACCUAUUAUGGUCCAAUAUCCAAAAUCUAAAUACAUGGUUAGAUUCAGCAUAUCAAAGAACCCCAAGAAUUCAAUUUUUGAUGAAAUCAAACAAAGUUUAAUUUUGGACCCUUUUGACCUCAAUGUGGACAAAGUUGAUAACGGGGCACAAAAAUCAAAAAUCUAAAUACAUGGUUAGAUUCAGCAUAUCAAAGAACCCCAUAUAUUCAAUUUUUGUUGAAAUCAAACAAAGUUUAAUUUUGGACCCCGAUUUGGACCAACUUGAAAACUGGGCCCAUAAUCAAAAAUCUAAAUACAUGUUUAGAUUCAGCAUAUCAAAGAACCCUAAGAAUUCAAUUUUUGUUAAAAUCAAACUAAGUUUAAUUUUGGACCCUUUGGACCUUAAUGUAGACCAAUUUGAAAACGGAACCAAAAAUUAAGAAUCUAAAUACACGGUUAGAUUCGGCAUAUCAAAGAACCCCAAUAAUUCAAUUUUUGAUGAAAUCAAACAAAGUUUAAUUUUGGACCCUUUUGACCUCAAUGUGGACAAAGUUGAUAACGGGGCACAAAAAUCAAAAAUCUAAAUACAUGGUUAGAUUCAGCAUAUCAAAGAACCCCAUAUAUUCAAUUUUUGUUGAAAUCAAACAAAGUUUAAUUUUGGACCCCGAUUUGGACCAACUUGAAAACUGGGCCCAUAAUCAAAAAUCUAAAUACAUGUUUAGAUUCAGCAUAUCAAAGAACCCUAAGAAUUCAAUUUUUGUUAAAAUCAAACUAAGUUUAAUUUUGGACCCUUUGGACCUUAAUGUAGACCAAUUUGAAAACGGAACCAAAAAUUAAGAAUCUAAAUAAACGGUUAGAUUCGGCAUAUCAAAGAACCCCAAUAAUUCAAUUUUUGAUGAAAUCAAACAAAGUUUAAUUUUGGACCCUUUUGACCUCAAUGUGGACAAAGUUGAUAACGGGGCCCAAAAAUCAAAAAUCUAAAUACAUGGUUAGAUUCAGCAUAUCAAAGAACCCCAUAUAUUCAAUUUUUGUUGAAAUCAAACAAAGUUUAAUUUUGGACCCCGAUUUGGACCAACUUGAAAACUGGGCCCAUAAUCAAAAAUCUAAAUACAUGUUUAGAUUCAGCAUAUCAAAGAACCCUAAGAAUUCAAUUUUUGUUAAAAUCAAACUAAGUUUAAUUUUGGACCCUUUGGACCUUAAUGUAGACCAAUUUGAAAACGGAACCAAAAAUUAAGAAUCUAAAUACACGGUUAGAUUCGGCAUAUCAAAGAACCCCAAUAAUUCAAUUUUUGAUGAAAUCAAACAAAGUUUAAUUUUGGACCCUUUUGACCUCAAUGUGGACAAAGUUGAUAACGGGGCACAAAAAUCAAAAAUCUAAAUACAUGGUUAGAUUCAGCAUAUCAAAGAACCCCAUAUAUUCAAUUUUUGUUGAAAUCAAACAAAGUUUAAUUUUGGACCCCGAUUUGGACCAACUUGAAAACUGGGCCCAUAAUCAAAAAUCUAAAUACAUGUUUAGAUUCAGCAUAUCAAAGAACCCUAAGAAUUCAAUUUUUGUUAAAAUCAAACUAAGUUUAAUUUUGGACCCUUUGGACCUUAAUGUAGACCAAUUUGAAAAUGGAACCAAAAUUUAAGAAUCUAAAUACACAGUUAGAUUCGGCAUAUCAAAGAACCCCAAUAAUUCAAUUUUUGAUGAAAUCAAACAAAGCUUAAUUUUCUGACCCUUUGGACCUCAAUGUGGACCAAUUUAAAAACGGGGCCCAAUAUCCAAAAACUAAAUACACGGUUAGAUUCAGCAUAUUAAAGAACCCCAUGAAAUCAAGAAUAAAACCCCAUUGAAAUUGGUCAAGAAAUAAGCAAUUUAUAGGAAGUAUCUUCUUUUGCACAAUCCUGUGCUAUUAAAUAUUUCUUGCUAUUGCGCAAUACUGUACAAUUGACAAUUUCUUGCUAUUGCGCAAUAUUGUGCUAUUGGAUAUUUCUUGCUAUUGCGCAAUACUGUGCAAUUGAAGAUUUCUUGCUAUUGCGCAAUACUGUGCAAUUGAAGAUUUCUUGCUAUUGUGCAAUACUGUGCAAUUGAAAAUUUCUUGCUAUUGCACAAUACUUAUUAUAUAAUAAUUUACACAUCCUGUUUGGUGUGUAUCUCCUACCAUAUCAUUAUUAUUUGAUUUUAAAUAUAAAUCAGAAAUAACCAACUUAAAAUGGAAAAUUUUAAAAGAAACAAAAAAGGAAAAAAAAAAAAAAAGGAAAAAAAAAUAAA